rnacentral:rRNA from 1 species
ACAAGCGGUGGAUGAUGUGGUUAAUUCGAUGCAACGCGAAAACCUUACCACCUUUGACAUGUACGGAAUCCUUUAGAGAUAGAGGAGUGCUCGAAAGAGAGCCGUAACACAGGUGCUGCAUGGCUGUCGUCAGCUCGUGUCGUGAGAUGUUGGGUUAAGUCCCGCAACGAGCGCAACCCUUGUCAUUAGUUGCUACAUUCAGUUGGGCACUCUAAUGAGACUGCCGGUGACAAACCGGAGGAAGGUGGGGAUGACGUCAAGUCCUCAUGGCCCUUAUAGGUGGGGCUACACACGUCAUACAAUGGAUGGUACAAAGGGUCGCCAACCCGCGAGGGGGAGCCAAUCCCAUAAAGCCAUUCGUAGUCCGGAUCGCAGUCUGCAACUCGACUGCGUGAAGUCGGAAUCGCUAGUAAUCGUGGAUCAGAAUGUCACGGUGAAUACGUUCCCGGGUCUU